GCUACAAGGGUUUAAGCACCUCCACCCCUAGCAAGAGGGACUGGAAGAAGCAUCACUUGAUGGCCACGGCACUGUCCAGUAUCAAGUGGAACACUUUCAGACUGGAGGAGGGAUGCGCAGUCGUGGAGUCCUCGCCACUGCCAUCCAUCCCAAGAAGCAGCUGCAGCCAUCCGCCAGGGGACGGAGAUGCUGCCGACCACCUGGACGUGGAGGAACGGCCACCAGCUGACAAAUCCAUAAUCUGAGUGAGGUCUUUCCUGACUGUCAUAUUUCUAUACAUCGUUUACAGGCAGCAGAGUUCAAAGGUCAAUCCAGCCUAAUCCACUGGUUGAAGGACAUUGUCAGCCACUUUUGUUGGUGCUGCAAAACAACUGAUUCAUCCCACAAAUUCCUUGAGCUGUGGCUAUGACUCUGCUCACCAUGUGAUAUAUGAACGCAGGUGGGUACUGGGGAGCUGCCAACAUGAGAACAUGGAACACGACGGGAC